rnacentral:rRNA from 1 species
UACUAGAGUAGCACUCGCAUAUCAAUAAGCGGAGGAAAAGAAACUAACAAGGAUUCCCCUAGUAACGGCGAGUGAAGCGGGAAGAGCUCAAAUUUGAAAUCUUAAAGGGUUUCCCUUUACGAAUUGUAGUUUAAAGAAGUGUUUUCUGUUGAGGUUUUGGUAAAAGUUCUUUGGAAUAGGACAUCAUAGAGGGUGAGAAUCCCGUAUUUGACCUUUACUUUCAACUUUGUGAUACACUUUCAAAGAGUCGGAUUGUUUGGGAAUGCAGUCCAAAAUGGGUAGUAAAUUUCAUCUAAAGCUAAAUAUUGGCGAGAGUCCGAUAGCGAACAAGUACCGUGAGGGAAAGAUGAAAAGAACUUUGAAAAGAGAGUUAAACAGUACGUGAAAUUGUCAAAAGGGAAGCGUUUGACACCAGUGUUGUUUCUCUGAAAAUCAAUUAAAGAACUGUUUAUGCUAAGUUGUUUAGACUUUAUCAGCUAUCUGCUUAGUUUUGAGCUUUUCUUUAAUGCACUUUUCAGUUAACAAGUCAACAUCAAUUUCUUUUGCUGUAAAAAAGCUUGAGGAAGGUGGCUUGAGAUUCGUCUUAAGUGUUUAUAGCCUCUUGCCUAUGCAGUCGGAGAGAUUGAGGUCUGCAGCGUAGAUCCUUCGGGGCUAAAUGCAUUUGUGCUAAGUUAUAGCAUUUUAUAGACAACUUGUUGACUAUGAUUUGUCUUGUAGCUUACUCGCUUAUGUUAUUUUACCUACGCUUAGGAUGUUGAACUCUAUCACACACAG